rnacentral:rRNA from 1 species
GAUGAACGCUAGCUACAGGCUUAACACAUGCAAGUCGAGGGGCAGCAUGAACUUAGCUUGCUAAGUUUGAUGGCGACCGGCGCACGGGUGAGUAACACGUAUCCAACCUGCCGAUGACUCGGGGAUAGCCUUUCGAAAGAAAGAUUAAUACCCGAUGGCAUAGUUCUUCCGCAUGGUAGGACUAUUAAAGAAUUUCGGUCAUCGAUGGGGAUGCGUUCCAUUAGCUUGUUGGCGGGGUAACGGCCCACCAAGGCGACGAUGCGUAGGGGUUCUGAGAGGAAGGUCCCCCACACUGGUACUGAGACACGGACCAG